rnacentral:lncRNA from 1 species
AACCUGAGUGGUGUGCUCAACAGUCCCCACCCCCGAAAAACUAGUCACUAGAUCCUACCUACGGAUCCUAUCUCCCAAACACUGUUGGAAACUCUUUGCUUCUUGUUAACCAUUUCUUACCUUGGCCUCUUCUGUCUCCAACCCAUUCCCUAUUCCACAAGGACAGUGGGCUCUCUAACGUCAGCACAGCUGAUAUUGCCACUCCCCUGCUCACACCCCUUCCAUGGCUCCCCAGUGCUUCCUUCAACUGCUCAGCCCAGUUUACAAGGUCCUGCACAGCCUGGCUCUGCUUGUGUUUUCAACAUCAUCCCUUAUCACUUGCUGCCAGGAUCUCGCCAGGCUGAACCACUUUCAAUUCCUCUAAUGUCUGGGCUUUCUUCCCAUGGGGCCUCUGCACAUGCUGUUCUCUGCCUGGAAUACACGUCACUCUCUCUCCUCCUUCCCCUUAGUCAACUCUUAUUUAGCCUCCUGGCUCAGCUUUCGGAUUCUCCAGAAGGCCUGCACGGAUACCCCCUCCCCGCCACGGUCUGGGCUAGGAGCCCCCUUCACCCUGUACUUCCCCAGGGACAGCACUCACUCCUGCGUCUCAGCAGACAGCCGCCUCCACCGCCUCCACUGGCCGUGUCCUCCAGCAGCCCAGGGGGCCUUUGAGGGCUGGGGCUGGGUCUGUUGUGCUUGACUUUGUGCCAGGACCUCACACACAGCAAGUGCUCAAAUAUUUGUCCAGUGAGUGGAGGGUAUGCACCUUUGUACUAACCUGAACACUGUGCUGGCCUCCGGGGCUGCAGAGCAAGGUGAGAUCUAAAUGGGUUCCUGUUUGCGUGGCCCAGAGGUUACCUGCAAGAGACCACCGCGAUAAGCCAUUAAACAAAUCUGUAGCCAAGAGAGUUUCGCCUAGUGAUUGGUGCUACAAAGAAUAUGAAGCAGGUGGGAUGUUAUGGGAGGGGUUGGGUGGUCAGGGGUGGCCCCUAAGGAGGUGAGGCUUGAGCUGGGCCUGGGUAAUGAGGGGGAACCAGCCAUGAAUCUUUUGGCCAUGAAAAGGUUUGGGGUGGAUGAUUCCAGGUCCUUCCUUGGGGAUUUGGCCUGGCCUGCAGAAGGACCAGCGAGAAGGCCACUGUGAUUGGAGCAAAGAGGAACGUGCUAGGAGAUGAGUCAGGAAAGCUGGUAAGGGCCAGACCAUUCAGGGCUUUUCUAGGCCACAGGGAGGUGUUUUAUUCUAAGGGCAAUAGAAUCCAUUGGAAAAUGAGUGAUGUUGGCGACCCAGGGGGCAUCUUGGGCAUCUCUCACAUCUUUCAGCUUGUUGAGUGCAACUUGUCCCUUAAGAUUUAACUAAAAGGACUCAUUAAAGUAGGAUGUCCGGGAGUUCCCUGGUGGCUUAGACGGUUAAGGACCUGGCAUUGUUACUUCUGUGACUUGGGUUUGAUCCCUGGAUGCAGGUGUGGCCAAAAAAGAAAAGAAAAGUAACCCUACCAAACAACUCAAGAAUUCCAGAGCUUAGAUUCUACUAAGUACCCCUGACUUUUGCUGAUGUCCCAGUCUCCCAGCUGCUUUUGCCUCCUUUGUGCCUGACUCUCCUUUCACCUUUUCACCAACUAAGCCCUUCACUCCCAAAGUUCCACCAAUUCCAGGCUUUGCCUGGUGCACACUUGGCUGAUGAGCUGAUUCAACCAACAGCUGAACACUGAAAAUGAGAUGCCCUGUUUGCAAAAAGUCCUUGUAUAUUUGCUGUACAGUAGAAAUCGACAGAACACUGUGGUAGAAAUUGGCAGAACGCUGUAAAUCAACUCCAAUGGAAAAAAUAAAAAUCAUUAAAAAAAAAAGUCCUUGUAUAUUCACCACACACACCACCACUGUAAACACAGACAUGUUCCCUCAUAAUUUUGACUGAUUUUCUGUACUCUAGCCCUAACGGCCUACCCCAAAUGCUGAGACCCUCCCUCUCUCCUACCACCUCCUUCCAGAUAUGCAAGCCCUCUGACUCACAUUUUUUCUUUUUAAGGCCGCACCUGAAGCAUAUGGAAAUUCCAGGGCUAAGGGUCAAAUCAGAGCUACAGCUGCUGGGCCUACGCCAUAGCCACAGCAACUUGGAUCCAAGCUGCAUCUGCGACCUACGCUGCAGCUUGUGGCAACAGCGGAUCCUUAGCCCACAGAGCGAACCCAUAUCUUUUUGGACACUAUGCUGGGUUCUUAACCGACUGAGCCACAGUGAGCACUCCUGACUCCCCCAUUUUUGCUUGUUGCCUUUUCUGAAAUAACAGCUUUAUUGAGAUACUAUAAAAUUCCCCCUUUUAGGAGUUCUCUUGUGACACAGUGGGUUAAGGACCUGGCAUAGUUACUGCAGCAGCUUGGGUUGCUGCUAUGGUGCAGGUUCAGUCCCUGGUCUGGGAACUAAUGCAUGCCACAAGCGCAGCCAAAAAAAAUAAAUAAAUAACCCUUUUAAAUUGUACAAUUCAGUGGUUUUUAGCUAUUUGCAGAACCAAACCUCACAGUUAUCUAAUUCUGGAGCAUUUAUUUCAUCACCCCCACCAAGAGAACCUCAUCCCCAUUGGUGCUUACUCCUCAUUUUCCCACCCCCCAGCUCCUGGCAACCAUUAAUCUCUCUGUCUCUAUGGAUUUGCCUAUUCUAGACAUUUCAUAGACAGAAUCAGGCAACAUGUAACAUGUAGCCGUUCAUGACAGGCUUCUCAUGUGGAAUGUUUUCAAGGUUCAUUUGCACUGUAACAUGUAUCAGUACUUUAGUCCUAUUUAUGGUGAAAUAAUAUUCCUUUGUGUGGACUUAUUAACGUGUUUAUCCGUUCACCUGCUGAUGGACACCUUUUGGGUAUUGUGAUUGUGCUGCUGUGAACAUUCUUGUACAAGUAUGUGUUUGGGAACCAGUUUCCAGUUCUCUUGGGUAUAUACCCAGGGGUGGAAUUGCUAGGUCAUAUGGUAGUUCUGUGUUGAACAUUUUGAGGGACCAUGAAACCGUUUUCCAGGGUGGUUGGGCCAUUUUACAUUCCCACUUGCACUGCACAAGGGUUCCAACGUUCCAUAUCUUUGCUAACUUGAUAUUCCCUCCC